rnacentral:lncRNA from 1 species
GUACAUAGCUCUUGGAAGUUGGAACCAGACUUUCUUGCAUUUCAUCAUCCAGAUACAAUACAGUUACAUAACUGAAAUUUACACAAGGAUUAGGGCAAGAAAAUAACAAGGAAUUAAGAAGAGCCACACGAAGGGGCCGGGCGCCGUAAAAAGAGAAGUACAUACAUAAAGCAACUGGAUAUCAAUUAAUUAAUUAAUUAAUCAUCCGAAUAUGCAACUGGAUUAACCGCAAGAAACUGGGUAAUCAAUCAAGUAGGAUGGGGGGAUUAAUUGAUUAAUGUUGGGGUUGAUUGUAGAAGUGAUGAUGAGGAUCAGGUCCACCUGGAGAUACUCUGUCGGCACCACCUGGACCAUCCGCCACAACCGCAACAAUGCUGCGGCGGGGGCGGGUGGGGUCGAUGGGACGCGGAUGUUUGUUUUAGUAGGUCAUAAGCUUGGACUUGGUGUAUCCUAAUUUCUGAAGCAGAUACCGGCUUUCCAUCAUCUGCUUCCUGCUGCCAGCUGACGGUGGUUGCGGUGCUGGGACUCCUGAUAUUGGUGCUGGCCGCGCCGCCUCAGCGAUCAUCGGGGCAAGAAGCAUCAUUAAUAUUGUAAGGGCUGCAGUAAGCCGCAUAACAUAACUCAUGAUGAGGCCGGCUGGAUUAGAUUUAGUCAUUAUAUUAUUAGUUGACGUACGUGGAUAAUGGAUUUGGCUGGGGAGUAGCUAGGGCUACCUGUAGGAUGGGGGAAGGAGAAUGACUGAGAAUGAGAGC